rnacentral:rRNA from 1 species
UUACCUACCCUUGACAUGUCCGGAACUUGCCAGAGAUGGCUUGGUGCCGAAAGGGAAUCGGAACACAGGUGCUGCAUGGCUGUCGUCAGCUCGUGUCGUGAGAUGUUGGGUUAAGUCCCGCAACGAGCGCAACCCUUAUCAUUAGUUGCUACGCAAGGGCACUCUAAUGAGACUGCCGGUGACAAACCGGAGGAAGGUGGGGAUGACGUCAAGUCCUCAUGGCCCUUAUGGGUAGGGCUUCACACGUCAUACAAUGGUCGGUACAGAGGGUUGCCAAGCCGCGAGGCGGAGCCAAUCCCACAAAGCCGAUCGUAGUCCGGAUUGUUCUCUGCAACUCGAGAGCAUGAAGUCGGAAUCGCUAGUAAUCGCAGGUCAGCAUACUGCGGUGAAUACCGUUCCCGGGUCUU